UACGAAGGGGCUAGCGUUGCUCGGAAUCACUGGCGUAAAGGGUGUGUAGGCGGGUCUUUAAGUCAGGGGUGAAAUCCUGGAGCUCAACUCCAGACUGCCUUUGAUACUGAAGAUCUUGAGUUCGGGAGAGGUGAGUGGAACUGCGAGUGUAGAGGUGAAAUUCGUAGAUAUUCGCAAGAACACCAGUGGCGAAGGCGGCUCACUGGCCCGAUACUGACGCUGAGGCACGGAAAGCGUGGGAGCAAACAGG
rnacentral:rRNA from 1 species